rnacentral:rRNA from 1 species
GUGGGGAAUAUUGGACAAUGGGCGCAAGCCUGAUCCAGCAAUGCCGCGUGGGUGAAGAAGGUCUUCGGAUUGUAAAGCCCUUUCGACAGGGACGAUGAUGACGGUACCUGUAGAAGAAGCCCCGGCUAACUUCGUGCCAGCAGCCGCGGUAAUACGAAGGGGGCUAGCGUUGCUCGGAAUUACUGGGCGUAAAGGGCGCGUAGGCGGCCUGCUUAGUCAGACGUGAAAAUCCUGGGCUUAACCUGGGGACUGCGUUUGAUACGGGUGGGCUUGAGGAUGGAAGAGGCUCGUGGAAUUCCCAGUGUAGAGGUGAAAUUCGUAGAUAUUGGGAAGAACACCGGUGGCGAAGGCGGCGAGCUGGUCCAUUACUGACGCUGAGGCGCGACAGCGUGGGGAGCAA